UCGGGAAUUUUGGACAAUGGGCGCAAGCCUGAUCCAGCCAUACCGCGUGAGUGAAGAAGGCCUUCGGGUUGUAAAGCUCUUUCAGACGGAAAGAAACGGUUACGGCUAAUACCCGUGACUAAUGACGGUACCGUAAGAAGAAGCACCGGCUAACUACGUGCCAGCAGCCGCGGUAAUACGUAGGGUGCGAGCGUUAAUCGGAAUUACUGGGCGUAAAGCGUGCGCAGGCGGUUUGGUAAGACAGAUGUGAAAUCCCCGGGCUUAACCUGGGAACUGCAUUUGUGACUGCCAGACUAGAGUGUAGCAGAGGGGGGUAGAAUUCCACGUGUAGCAGUGAAAUGCGUAGAUAUGUGGAGGAAUACCGAUGGCGAAGGCAGCCCCCUGGGCUAACACUGACGCUCAUGCACGAAAGCGUGGGGAGCAAACAGGAUUAGAUACCCAUGUAGUCCCUGAGCGGGCUGGCAAGGCGCAU
rnacentral:rRNA from 1 species